GGCGAAAGGAGAACACGUGUUGCGAUAGGAGAGGGAGGAAGAGAGCGAAAAAGUGAGGGUGAGGUAUGGCGUUGGAAGCGAGAAGAAAAAGUAUUUGAAGGGGAAGAGGAGGCGCGAGAAGAGAGCUGGAGCGUCUACUGUGGAUUUCUUGCUGCAUUGCUACUAAAGUUUUACCCUCUUCAAAUUUUUAGGACGAUUUGAUUUAAAACCGCCAAAAAUAUAGGAAAAUGAUAUUUUGACACCAUUUUGACACUUCACAUGUGUCAAGAUAUGUGGUUGGACGAUUUCAAAUUAAAAAAAUAAACUUUGGUUUUUC
rnacentral:lncRNA from 1 species